UCACUGCAAUUAUUCAUACCAGUAAUUUUGCACAUGCAUCAAUGAUGAAGCACCAGAGCCUGUGGCAUAAAGUUGGUAUGAAGGCAUCUGCCCCCUGAUCAGGGAAACUCUGAAGCCACUCUCCCAUCAUGUGUUGCACAGGACAGUGCACUGAAGGGAGCUUUCCUGUAGCUCAGUAACACACAGACAGACGCCUGCAGUUUUCAUCCAUGAGUGCAAUCCACAAGCACACAACUCAACUCUGGGUGACUCCACACAAGAGAUUCACGUAUCUCAGAUGACUUAAUUAAAACACUCCAUGUAACCUA